AUGUGUUCUGUUGGACCUACAGACAGUUAGAUUAGUAGUAGUGGUGUGUUUUAAUGUGUUCUGUUGGACCUACAGACAGUUAGAAUAGUAGGAGUGGUGUGUUUUAAUGUGUUCUGUUGGACUCUAUGACUGUAUGAGUCUGGUGGAGAGUGUUGGAUCAAGCCAGGACCUGAGAAAUACCAUGGUGGAGAGAGUUUUAUCAAGCCUGGACCUGAGAACACCAGAGACCAUGGUGGAGAGUGUUGUAUCAAGCCUGGACCUGAGAAAUGGAUUCCUCAGAGCUGUAAGACUUGUGACCAUGUUGAGGUAAGUCAUAAUGUCAAUUCUUACUUUUACAUACCUGCAGGAGUCAGGCACAGUCUCAAAGCCAGGUGUGUACUGACCAACCAUUCAUACUGGGAUAUAGACAGUCCUGUGUUCUGCUUUAGUAAU